rnacentral:lncRNA from 1 species
GAAGAAAAAGUUAUUUAUUGGAUAUCUUUACAAAAAUAUUUAGGCACAUAAUUUUCAUAUUUAUGUCACCUGAUUUACAUAUCGCAAUCCUCAGUACCUUUUAAAAACACUAAAAUGGUCAUUUGGUAAAUAGAAUCUAUAUUGAAAAAAUACUGUGAUAGGCCAACGUUUGUAGACAAAAAAAAAAUCAGUUGAUCAUCAGCAUGAGAAAGAAACAUUUAUGAACAAAAUAAUCUCUAAAAACAUUUUUUGUGAGACAAAAAUCUAACCAGUAGAUUUCCUUUAAAAAAGUAUUUUCAAAAAAGAAAGCUUAAAAAGAAGACCCACCGUAGAGUAUCUCCUCAUUCCACGAUGAAGGGGCAUGGUACGAAGAAGAAGCAGGAGAUGGGUUUAGAGAACAGUGAUGGCGCCAGAGGUUCACAAAGGCCAGCGACUGAGAUGAAGCUGGACUCAAGCCAGCACGAAGUUAAUGCAUUUAAUCGGGAGAAGGGGAGAGCGAAUGUCUGACCGACCCAGGGGCUCCUUUAGGGUGGCCAACGGAAACCUAUAACUGAAUCACCCUUCUGAAGUGUCAUUGUCUUCCUCUAAGAUAGAAAAUAAUUUUUCUUUUUUGAAAUGUAUCAAAAUAUGCAAAUACUUUUUUUUUUUUUAAAACAGGUGGAGGCACCUGCACCACACAAGAGUCACCCAUGAUUAUAUCAAGUAGGUAUUUUUAAAAAGACCAUGAACAGAAACUGUUAUUUAAAAUGUAUUCGAGAAGCAACAAAAUAGACGGUCGCAUUUUAAAAGGUAAUUUACACUGCCCGGGCCUCUAGCAUUGAAGGAGCGCAAAUUAAUAAGAGUCUUACUCUUUGCCUCUAGUCUCACCAUGAAAUAAAGGACAGUGACAUUUGCUGAGUGCCUAAUAUGUACUAGGCAUUGUGCUGAGUAGUUUGCAUCUGUUGUCUCAUUUAUUCUGAAUGUUAUUAUUCUCCCCCCAGGGAAGGACAAAUCAAUUACAGCCCUGUUCAUAGGAAGAACCAACAUGACACAGCCCUGGGGAGGCAGGAUACGUGCAGGAGAGGCAGGAGGGACCAGACUAUGGGCACAAUUCUAACAGCCUGGCACUCAGGGCUAGAGGACUAGUGUGAAUCCCCCCUUAGACUAAAAAAGUGCUUCAUUCAGCUCUGUGGGGGAGACACCCCUCGGCAGCGACGCUGACAACUGCGCAGGUAGCUUUAACUCAUAAAUCUGCUUCUUUUUCUCAACUAGAGUCUGGCUAAAGAAUUACACAUUCCUGGAGAACAAGAUCCAUGUCCUCGUCAUCUCAGCUGCCCCAGAGCUUAGCAUAAUGCCUAGCAUAAAACAAUCUUCGCUCCCUAAUCAAAACCAUAAUAACAAAAGCAAAGGCAGGCCCGCCCCAAAUCCCGGGCACUAUUCCAGACGGAUCCAAAGUGAAACUCUCCUGUUCUUUCCGGGAAGACCCUACAUCAGUAUCACUGAUGUGAGCUUUCCACGCAUUCCUGGUACAUAAGGACCUCAGAAAGCCUGCAAACAUACUUUUCUUUCUUAACCUACAAGGCACGUUGGAUCCUGCUAAGGACUGACUCAUAGAGGCAACAGCCAUAGAAAGGAAUUUAAAAAAUCAUGGGCCAUUGGGCCAUGUGUCGCCUGGCCGACCAGGGUUAUUCAAAGUAAUCUGGCACGGACUGGAAAACAGACUGGCCAAAGAAUGCUUGUCUUAUAAGAUGCUGGAAUACCAGGUAAAUCUUUUCAUGUUCUAUAAUCAAGCCUGCAAAUCGACUUCAGCAUGGUUGGCUGGGAGUUUCGGCAUUGUCGCUGCCAUGGCUUAGGUUUGAGCCCUGGCCCAGGAACUUGUGCAUACCAUGAGCACAGCCAAAAAAAAGCAGCCGGCCAGUCUAUUCAAUCUCCCCCUUCCCCAGGCUUCUUCCUCUUAUCUUCAAAUGCUGGUAGCUGGUGAAGCAGCCACCAAGGAAUCAACAGGGACAAGGACAAAGCUUACACUGCUCUACUGCUUCGAGUCGGUCAGAAAGUUCAGCACAGGCCAGGGGCCCUGAGGUCAUGUUCAUUUAGGGAAGCUAUAACCACACAUGAUUUCCUCAAAUAACCCCGGAGAGAUGGCAGAUCUUCAAGGGAACCUGAGCCCCAAGAAGAAGCUCAACCCCUGAUGGGGUUCUGGCCCAACACCUCUAAACGCAACCGAAGGCCUUUCAUGCUGAGAAAUUCUACCGCACAAACUACUUCUAACAUCAAAGCGUCCUUCUUCAUGUGGCUGAUGGAAGGAGGAACAGAACUGCUCAAGUCAGCUCUCAUGGCAGCUUUUCACUGUCCCCCGGCAAAAUCCGGCGGUGGCAAGUAAAGUUCAUAGCCAGAAGUGCCUGUCACCUGAGGCCAGCCUGAAAGGGAGAUAAAAGCUCUCGCCUGCAGAGUGACUCCCCCUGAUCUGCAAAGCCUGUUCCUCUUCGACUCCAUAUUCAAUCAACCAGCGCCUCCUUGAAAGACUCGAGCUAGCUCGGCUGGCACCCCCAUUUCCUCACUCCCUCAGAGAAGAAGAGCAGUUGUCAAUGGCAGCAUGGUUUCGGGGAAAAAAACAGGAAUUUUGACUUAUCAUCAAGUCACCUACCUCACUUUCUCUGAGUCUUGUUUUCGUAUCAAUAAAAAUAGGGACAAUUAGACACCAUAAAAUGUCUUGCACAGAGUAUCCUUUUCUCCCGGCUUGAAUUUUCUCCGCUCACAAAAUACUGGAAACCAAGUUACAGGGAGCCUGAAACUUAGGAGCCAACCAUGAGGCUACUUCUAAGGACCCAGCACCAAGGGCCAAGCUUUGAUGCCGACAAACUAAAGUCAGGGAAAUAUACGAAUAUGAAAACGACGGCAACACGAUCCUUUUUCAAAAACAGAAAGAAAUCAAAACCUUCUGGGUCUCCUCAUGUUUUGAGGCAUCAAAACAUGAACUGCUUAGGUCAACAACGCCCAGUAAACUGCGAACCUAAUGAAAUGGAAGCCAGGGUUUGUACCCACACAAAAGUACCCAACCUCUUGCACACUGACUGCACAGCUGCCUGAGAAAACACGCCACCUCCAAAGUCAACAGGUGUCUUAAGCCAAGUCACACUACUGUGUGUGAGUUAACACACCCGACUCACCCAGAGAGGCAACUCAGGCAACGUCCACCCACAGCUGCUCUCGCAGGAGGCAGCCCAGCUCCCGAGAGGAGGGAGGAUGUGUAGGAAGUGACCGAGAGAUGUGGGACGGAGGUGGGAGGUUCCACAAGAAAGAGGGAUGCUGCUCCGUUUAAGCAGAAGGGAAGGUGCUGGUUCUGACACUGCUGCUGCCAAAGUCCGAGCCUCCACAAGGCAGAAAAUCUCAACUGCCUUUCCUCUCAAACCAAGGCAUUCAGAAAUGGAAGACAGCUGCGUGGAUUCCAAGAGGAGGAAAAAGAGGAGCAACCAAACCCAGAGGCAGGAAGCGUGGCGAAAGAGAUGGUGCUCACCUGCUUGCUGUUUUUCCCGGAGAAGAAAGGCUGAGCUGCGAGGUUUACGACGGCAGCUUUCCCCGUGCAUUUGAGCUACAGUGUAGGAUUCAGUUUCACAUCGCUCUGGGCUGAAGACAGAGGCUUUUAAACCCAUUCCCAGACCUGCGCUUUCUGAGAGCUGAAAAGUUUCCAUGACUUGUUUCUCGUCACCAUGUCUUCUGAAUAAACCAACAGAGCUAAAUUCUCAGUGUCACCCUUGGUCACUACAGCGGAAGCGAGAUCAGGCAUCUACUCCAACAAUAUCCUACCCCCAGCACGGAGCACAAUGCCUGGCACGUAUCACAUACUCAAUAUGCUUUAGUUGAAUGAGUGACUCAGAUGAAUAAAAGAGUAAAAAAGGCCUACUUCCUCCAUCCCUUCAUCAUCCCCACCCCACCCCACAAAGAGGGAACAGGAUAUUUUCAAGGAACAUACACUGCUCAUCCCGUGAGUUCUCAGGGAAGCCAAUGUGCAAACUCAUACACAGCAAAGCCGCACCUGUUUCUUUAGUGCCAAAGGUGUCAUCUCUGGCGAGAGCAGUGAUGAUAUCUUUAUGAAGAAAAUGCAAUCGCUCAGAAAGAAAAUUCAAAGCAGAGGAAGUCAGAUACUCAGCUGCAUUUCCAGCAAGAGGAAUGCGAAGCUGCCUCCAGACGCAGCAAUGGUGCGACUGAUGAGGCUCCGGCUGGAGCGCUUUCUAUCUGCAGCUCCCAGGGACACCUGGAUGAUCAAGCUAUGGCAUAAACUAUUUUCAAAACAUGGAUGUUUCACCGUCAGCAUCGAAGAAAAAUAAAUUAAAAAGCCCAGUACGUUUUCCAGUCUGAUAUAAAUUAAUUCGAAUGGCAUAUUUAAAAGAAUCAGUUGUAAGUUUCUCUCAAAAGAUUUAAAAAGGCAGCAAUCAAUCCUCGGAUUGUACAAGUGCAAAGAAACGGUAUGUCCUCCGUAACCAAGACCCCUCCGUAUCUGUGUAGGAAAUGCCAGCGUCCCGAGCUGAUCAUAAACUUGGCCGAGGUGGCUGAAGCAAUCCUCAGGUCAUACUGCUCCUUUCCCCUUAUUGUCCAGCUUGUUACUGGCCUCCGACUGUUUGCUCAGCUGCUCCUCAGAGAAAGUGAUAUAGGAAUACACCAGGCUCCCAGCAAUACUG